AGAAGGUCACUGACAACAUGCAAAAGAUCACAAAGUUGAUCGGACCCAAACAUGUCUCCAUUGUCAGAGCGUGUACUGAUGUUUGCACAGGAAACAACACCAGUAGGUGGAGUGGCUCUUGUCUAUUUCACAGACUGGCAGCUCAUUCUGGAUUAUGUUCCUUACAUUAGAGGCAAAUUCAAGAAGAAUGACUUGUUGUCUAACUCAGUAUCAUGGAUUUGUGGAAAGCGGUUGGUGUGUGUAAUUGUGUAAUUAGAUCAUGAAUUACUUUCCUUUGAAGUUACUUUCUAAAACCAAUCCAACUUGCAGGGGAAAAAAAUAAAUGUGACGCUAAUAGCUCUUUUAGUACGUUAAUAUUGACUGAAUUAUUAACCAUAUUACAGCAAUAUGACUAAAAAUUUUAUUAAAAAAAUAACAAUGCAUUUCUAAAAAUGCAACUUAACUUUUUUAUCGCAAAUAUGCUUAAGUAGUAUAUUUAGGUAUGUGUGUGUGUGUGUGUGUGUGUGUGUGUGUGUGAGUCCGCUAUCUACAACCUUCUUAGCUGUGUGUGGCAUGUAUGUGUACAGUAUGCUUGUUUACCUGUGUUUGUGUUAGUGUGAAAGACAGAAAAAGAAUACUAAUUAACUGAAAACAUUACUGAAAUCCCAUUUGCAAACAGCUUUCCAUUGUGUAUUUGAAUGCUUGUUGUUUAUUUUCGGUGUGCACAUACAGGUUUGCUUGUGUGAUGCAUCAUGCAUGUGUGUGCAUUAUAUCUGUUUGUGUGUACAUGUGCAGUAUGUGUGUGUUUACACAACUUUCAGAGAGUGGAUUAUUUCUACCUCCCUGCUUGUGCUCGGACAAAUUGGGAAUCCUUUAUCACUUGCGCAUCUGUAACACUAUUGCAUUGUGUUUUAUUGUGUACAAUACAUAAAGGGCAUAAAAAGGCGUUAACUUAGCGACGUCUUUUUCAAGACGCUGUUCUGCAAAUGUUUGACCUUGUGAGCUAUACAUAGGCUACCUCUGUCAGACGGAAACGUGCGCUGUUUUCUAAGCCGAUCCUCUCUCCUCCUGCUCGGCAGCUGCAGCGGGACACACGAGGGGGACACACGAGGGAGGCGCGCGAGAAUGGGGAUUUGAGGAGGAUUUGUUGACGGCCCAGACUUGCGUGUCUCUCUCUCCUCCAGCCAGUGCUGGGAGCUGACACAGAGCUCGCUGAGAUUGAUUGUGAGCACAUGAAAUCUUGAAACGCUUUACUUUCGUUACUUUGUAACGCGUUACACCCAACACUGCACACUGUAUAUCUAGGUAAUGUCCUUUGACCGGCCAUUAGGCGGCGCUGGUGAUGAAAAAAAUGAAGAUUGAAGAGAACCAUCCUUUCAAGAUUUCAAGGAUUGCAGCGACAUCUUUGGUUUUUGACGGGAAUGACAACGAAGUGUUGAGGUUGAGGUUUUUCUACAACAAAACUGUGGUAAUUUGGUAUCAGCCACCAUUGCAAUAGAUAAGUACAUUAAUUAAUUUAUAGAUUAAAGGUACACGCAGUAACUUCUGUCUUUGUGUCAUCUUGUACUUACACUGACACCUAGCGGCUUGGAUGCAGCAUCAUUUAAAAUCAAUAGUUUUCAGUUUCAGAUGCCAUUGUAGAAAUGUAGGAUUCACAGUCAGUCGUGAUUACUUUAAUCAAUGAUGAAAGUGUCAAAUAAUAGGACAGUUACUGAGAUUAAGUGAGCAAUAUUCGGUUGGUCGUGUGAUUAUAAAAUGGCCGCCCCCAUGUGUGGACCCUC